rnacentral:rRNA from 1 species
GAUGAACGCUGGCGGCGUGCCUAACACAUGCAAGUCGAACGGGGAUUCAGAUGAAAUUGUACUUGUACUAUGGAAUCUAAAUUCUAGUGGCGGACGGGUGAGUAACACGUGAGCAACCUGCCUUGGUCAGGGGGAUAACAACGGGAAACCGUUGCUAAUACCGCAUAAUAUGCCGAUGGGGCCUCCCAUUGGCAUCAAAGGAGUAAUCCGGAUUGAGAUGGGCUCGCGUCCGAUUAGUUAGUUGGUGAGGUAAUGGCUCACCAAGACCGCGAUCGGUAGCCGGACUGAGAGGUUGACCGGCCACAUUGGGACUGAGACACGGCCCAGACUCCUACGGGAGGCAGCAGUGGGGAAUAUUGGGCAAUGGGGGCAACCCUGACCCAGCGACGCCGCGUGAAGGAUGAAGGCCUUCGGGUUGUAAACUUCUUUGAUCGGGGACGAUAAUGACGGUACCCGAGGAACAAGCCACGGCUAACUACGUGCCAGCAGCCGCGGUAAUACGUAGGUGGCAAGCGUUAUCCGGAU